rnacentral:rRNA from 1 species
UACGUAGGGUCCAAGCGUUGUCCAGAGUUACUGGGCGUAAAGCGCGCGCAGGUGGUCCACUAAGCCCGGCGUGAAAGCCCCCGGCUCAACCGGGGAGGGUCGUCGGGGACUGGUGGACUUGAGGGCGGCAGGGGCUGGUGGAAUCCCCGGUGUAGUGGUGAAAUGCGUAGAGAUCGGGGGGAACACCCGUGGCGAAGGCGGCCAGCUGGGCCGUCCCUGACACUGAGGCGCGAAGGCGUGGGGAGCGAACGGG